rnacentral:rRNA from 1 species
AGUGAACGCUGGCGGUAGGCCUAACACAUGCAAGUCGAACGGCAGCACAGUAAGAGCUUGCUCUUACGGGUGGCGAGUGGCGGACGGGUGAGGAAUACAUUGGAAUCUACUUUUUCGUGGGGGAUAACGUGGGGAAACUUACGCUAAUACCGCAUACGACCUACGGGUGAAAGCAGGGGAUCUUCGGACCUUGCGCGAUUGAAUGAGCCGAUGUCGGAUUAGCUAGUUGGCGGGGUAAAGGCCCACCAAGGCGACGAUCCGUAGCUGGUCCGAGAGGAUGAUCAGCCACACUGGAACUGAGACACGGUCCAGACUCCUACGGGAGGCAGCAGUGGGGAAUAUUGGACAAUGGGCGCAAGCCUGAUCCAGCCAUACCGCGUGGGUGAAGAAGGCCUUCGGGUUGUAAAGCCCUUUUGUUGGGAAAGAAAAGCAGCAGGUUAAUACCCCGCUGUUCUGACGGUACCCAAAAAAUAAGCACCGGCUAACUUCGUG